rnacentral:rRNA from 1 species
CGGGACGGGUGAGUAACGCAUGGGUAACCCGCCUCACACAGGGGGAUAACAGUUAGAAAUGACUGCUAAUACCGCAUAACCCGAUAGGAUCGCAUGAUCCAGACGGAAAAGAUUUAUCGGUGUGAGAUGGACCCGCGUCUGAUUAGCUAGUUGGUGAGGUAACGGCCCACCAAGGCGACGAUCAGUAGCCGGCCUGAGAGGGUGAACGGCCACAUUGGGACUGAGACACGGCCCAA